rnacentral:lncRNA from 1 species
UGGAGAGGGAAAAAAACAUAGCAUCAACUCAACAGCAAAUUUUCUUCUUUUAGGUUUUAAUAAGGUAAAGUUAAGUACCAGUAGUCAAGAUGAGCAGAGGAUGGGGUUAGUACAUGGAUCUUUCAGGCAUAAAUGGGGGAAAAAAAAAUAACAGAACACAAAGCCUAAUGCUAGAUAAGACAGACACAAGUAUCUCUUCAGACACCAAUAAAAUAUUUUACAGUGGACAUAAAACAUGGGUUCCAAAAGGAAACCAUGGAUGGAACAUAUUACUUCCAGAGCUUAACAAACUUGUCAUGACUAGCUGAAGCAACCAAACCCGCGACUCCCGAUACAGCCAAGGAAGCAAUUAAUCCUUCAUGGCCUGUGAGAGUCAUUGUCUUGUUCUCAUUCAUGUUCCAUAGCUCCAAAGACUGCAAAAUGCAAUUCACAUGCAUUAGAAUUUGUGAAUCUAUACAUCUAGUGGACUGAGAAAUAGCCUCAGUUGAACCAUGGGGUAGCAGGAUUCAAAUACCAACAUAAACGAGAGUUGAGAGUAAUUUCUUCUCAUCUAUCCGGAGACACAGUUAUCUGGUACCUAUACUAGUGGAUGGUACAGGUAUCAGGUGGAGUAGUCGAGGUGCGCACAAGGCCCGGAUGUCAUCGUUAUAAAAGCAAAUCGCCUCACUCAUUAUCCUUGGGGAAAGGGCGCAGGAAGGGGGAGGGGAGGACGCAAUAUAUGACACAGCAUCUGGGAACUUGGGACUGUGGAGUCAACUGAGUAUUAGAAAGUUUAUGUUAAGACUACGAACAAACUGAUUUGAAGAGAUGCCGACCCAAAAAUAAAGGUAAUUGAAGGCAUAAGAUUAAAAAGUUAACAGAGAAAUGAAAAAAGAAGGAAGAUGUUGACAUAGUGAAGGUGAAAAAGGGAAUUUGUUGUUUUAAGAGAGACUUAAAUCAUGCAACAUUUCAUGGUUAAUUUUUUAAUAUGCAAUGUUCCACCGAGAUUAGUCUAUAGCAUUUUUUUUCUUUUUAACAGGAGAAAGAUGUACAUCACAAAAAUAAGCUGCCAAGUGCAUAUAAUCCGCUGGAUGAGUCCAAAAAACAAUGCACACGACUUGCCUGGUAACAGCCGAUAACUAGCAACGACGAAUAUGCAGGGUGGAAAACACACGAGUGGAAUUUGUUGCCAUUUGAACUAAGCUCAUGUAGACAGUCACCUUCACUACCCGAUCUCAAUGUCCAAACCCUGACAGAGUCUUCACUAACAGAUGCGAGGAGCUCGCCUGAGGGAUCCCAGCAGACAGAAUGGAUUGGUUUCGUGUGGC